UUUUCAUGGACUGUCUUGCUAACCUUCCUUGUACACUGUAUUCUGGAGAACCUUGGCUGUUGAAAGCAUAAAGGAAGAAGAAUGCAGUUUUUGCCUUGGGGAGCUUACAUCUUAUCUGGUAUACCAGAUAAACACAAUGAAGGACAACACAACGGUAAACAAGGUCGUAAAGCUAUGAGCACAGGGCCUGCCCUCAUUUAAUCAUCUACAUGCAGUGUAUGUAGGCCCAAUUCUUCUCUUUUAAAAUAAAAUCUCAUUUGGAAGUACUGAAGCUGGCUGAAAAGAAGAAAUUUAGAAAACGCGUUGGAGAAUCGGACCUGACAUUUUCCGCCUUGGCACUCACUCAUCAUCUUGACAACUCUGACUCUCUGUACCCAGUGUUCUUCAUACCCCCCCUUCCCUGUCCCUCUCAACAGGAUAUGGCUAUCAGAAGAAUCAAGAUGAAUGAGCGUCCAGACCAUUGAAGGGAAAGAAGUCUGGCUGAUGAAAAUGAGCUCUGCACUGAAUCCAGGCCAUGUUUUGAGGUUUCCAUUGUUUUUGGCUCAGCCUAGAAAUUGGAUUAUUGCUCUUCAUACCACUGGAGGCCUGCAGCCCAACCUCUGACCCAAGCUAUCACAGAAAACAGGGAAACACAAACUGAAAAUUAUAACAAUGCUCUUCAAGCUCAACAGAGAGAUAGUCAGACACGUAAUCACCACGGAGAGAUUACAGUUUUCUAGUCUACACUUUUGAAGGGAAAGAGACUGCAAAAAAAAAAAAAAAAAAAAAAAGAGAGAGAGAGCAUUAACCUUUAUCAGCUUUCAGCAUUUCAUGCUUUCAAUUUAGAACUGGAUGCUAUUGGCUCUGGAAGGCCAUAGAAGAUGUGGGAAGAGCAUGCACUGUUGCUUCCAUUAUUUUGUAGUGAGAAGGAUGGCUUUGGCGAGACUCUAAACGCUCUUCCUUUAAAAAUCUUAACCUCUGCCUCACUGAUCAGAAGGCUUUGUGGAGACCCAGCAAAGCCUGAUACUCUGUGACAGAAACCAUGCCCACUAUUGAUGCUCAUCUCUGUCAUCUUAAUGGCCUCUAGCAAGAAAGUCUUUAGGCAAGCUAGUGCUUGAAGCUUACCUAAAAUAUAAAGGUAUCCCUGGUGGGGAAAAACUAUGAAGUUUUGCCAAA
rnacentral:lncRNA from 1 species